AAGCUCAGAAAGAGAAAAUGCACGAGUUCGCCGACCGUAUCGGGUGGAAGUUUCAGAAGCGCGACGAGGACGACGUGCGCGACUUCUGCCGGGAGGUUGGAGUCGAUAAAGGCGUACUCAAGGUGUGGAUGCACAAUAACAAAAACACCUUCAACAACCGCCGCGACCAGCCAGUCGCUGGCGGAACCACCGUACAUUGCGUUGACAACGGCGUCGCAGUUAACAACGCCGAAGAUGAUGGCGUUCACGGUGGAAACGGUUUAGAGCACAACCUACACGGCGAUGGAGCUGAAGGCGUCUGCGGUUGCCACCGUAACUUCCACCGCCGCGACCCCGAUGACUCCUCCCUCGCUUCCGCCGUGCCUCCACCGUCUCUCCCUCCAUCCUCCACCACCGCUGCACUCGAGUACCAGCCUCACCACCGUCACCACCCGCCUCCACCAGGUCCUCAUCUCCCUCGCAGCCCUACUUCCUCUUCUCCACCUCCUAUCUCCUCCUCUUACAUGCUCCUCGCUCUCUCCGGCACCAAUAAACCCGGCGGAAACAGCUUACCGUUCUCAGAUCUCAACUUCGCCGCCAACAACCUCUCCACUCACCACCUUACCCCAGGCUCUCGGAAGCGUUUCAGGACGAAGUUCAGCCAAGCUCAGAAAGAGAAAAUGCACGAGUUCGCCGACCGUAUCGGGUGGAAGUUUCAGAAGCGCGACGAGGACGACGUGCGCGACUUCUGCCGGGAGGUUGGAGUCGAUAAAGGCGUACUCAAGGUGUGGAUGCACAAUAACAAAAACACCUUCAACAACCGCCGCGACCAGCCAGUCGCUGGCGGAACCACCGUACAUUGCGUUGACAACGGCGUCGCAGUUAACAACGCCGAAGAUGAUGGCGUUCACGGUGGAAACGGUUUAGAGCACAACCUACACGGCGAUGGAGCUGACGGCGUAAACGCUAAUGGCUCGUCUUCUUCUUCGGGAAAGAGCAAUAAUGAAGCUUAAGCUUUGUUUAGCUUAGAUCAUAGAGAGUAAGCACUGCUAUUAUCAUCUUAAUACGUUUAUUAUAUUAAUUA
rnacentral:lncRNA from 1 species